AGAAGUAGGAGCCAAUCAAAAUGCUCCAAAUGCAAAAAUUUCCGCGCUUAGCAUGUGCCCAUGGGCACACCAUAGGAAAACCGAUAUAAAUAAAGUUGUUCAUGUGAAUAGUCUUAAGACCAACAUAGAUAGAUCGAUUGAUCUGAGAAUGGAAAAAUCAAAGAGAAAUCUUGCGCUGCUUAUAUUUUCAGCUUUUCUACUCUUGUUCCCUCAUGUAAUAAUCUCCACAGCUGCUUUAGACCAAGAAAAACAAAGCGUUUCUGACAAGUUUAGAGGUUUGUAUUCUGUAGUUACGUCUUCCUCCAUGUCCUGUUGGCAGAAGCUUAAAACCCUCGUCAAUGAUGUUCAGUUACGAUAUUUUCCUCCCAGUCUCGAUUUUAGGCCCAAGGUUGAAGAAGAAAUAGAGGAACAAGGGUCAAAAGAAUGGAUGAAAGAGGCGGUGAAGAAGAGUCUGGGAUCGAGUAAAUCGACGGUGGAGGAAACCGCGAAAUCAGCCGCUAGUGCGGUUGGGGAAGUGGUGCACAAGACCAAGGAGAAGGUGGCAAAGAAGCAGUGUACUGGAGAUGGCUGUCCUCAUGAAGAACUUUAAAUUUUUUGUAUUCUGUUCUGUAUUUCUUGUCAUGUAUAACAAGUUUUAGUAGUAGUACUAGUUCAAAACAUGUAAUGUUGAUUCAUUGUACAAUCUUGGGUUCAGUUAUUGUCACCAUAGACUUUUAAACCA